AUUGAACGCUGGCGGCAUGCCUUACACAUGCAAGUCGAACGGCAGCACGGGUGCUUGCACCUGGUGGCGAGUGGCGAACGGGUAAGUAAUACAUCGGAACAUGUCCUGUAGUGGGGGAUAGCCCGGCGAAAGCCGGAUUAAUACCGCAUACGAUCUACGGAUGAAAGCGGGGGACCUUCGGGCCUCGCGCUAUGGGGUUGGCCGAGGGCGGAUUAGCUAGUUGGGGGGGUAAAGGCCUACCAAGGCGACGAUCAGUAGCUGGUCUGAGAGGACGACCAGCCACACUGGGACUGAGACACGGCCCAGACUCCUACGGGAGGCAGCAGUGGGGAAUUUUGGACAAUGGGCGAAAGCCUGAUCCAGCAAUGCCGCGUGUGUGAAGAAGGCCUUCGGGUUGUAAAGCACUUUUGUCCGGAAAGAAAUCCUUGGCUCUAAUACAGUCGGGGGAUGACGGUACCGGAAGAAUAAGCACCGGCUAACUACGUG
rnacentral:rRNA from 1 species